ACCACUGAGCCAUCUCUCCAGCCCCUUUGUUGUUUUCAAUACAUAAAAUAAGCAAAUAGGACUGGAGAGAUGGCUCAGCGGU
rfam:Mus musculus chromosome 1, GRC primary reference assembly.